AAUUGUAUUAUGCUAACAUAGUAUCACUCAUUUGCCACCUUACAAUGGCUUCAGUAAUCAAAUAUACAUAUUUGAUUUUUAACGUGAAUCUUAGUGGUCUUCAUUACUUAUACAUGUACACAAUCAUAAGACUUUUGACUGUCAGCGGAGUGACUCUGAGUGAAGAUACGGCUACUGAGAUGCCAUAGUACUUACCAAGAAGGCGAGCAUAUGUGUGCGACUCAAUCUAGAUCUCAACUGCCUCUAAAUCUGAAAAUAUUAAAUUUAAAAACGUGAGUAUAAAACUCAGUGAGUGAACACAAGAAGGGAACAAGCAAUCAAUAGGAAGAAUUUGGAAAUCAUGAUGCACUUGUUUCAAAAACAAUACAAUUGAUUUAGUUUCUUAUUAAAAACCCCUCAUUUCAAACUUUGAUUAAUAACCUCAUAGUGUUACAAAAACCCUAGAUCAAUCCAUGAAGUUUAAUGGGUGAAAAAUAUUUCAAAAUCAAGCAAGGUAGCAAGCAUCGCAGCAAGUUUCUCGCUGCAGCGAAGUUCAAUCUCGCUGCAGCGAGAUUCAGGCAGCCAAAAUAGAAAGUUUCUCGCUAUAGCGAGAAAUAGUGUCAGUUUGCAUGAGUUUCAGUUUUUCUAGCAUAUCUCUCGUUAAAAAAGUCCAAUUGAUCUGAUUUUUAGACCAUUAGAAAGCUAAGAGUUAGGGUUACAACUUUGAUGUUUACACUUUUCCCAGUUCGGAGAGGAAGGUGGUCAAAAUCUUCAUCAAAGUGAAAGCAUUGCAUCAGAACCUGAGAGUUUCUCGCUGCAACGAGUUGUUGGCUGCCAAAACAGAAUGUUUCUCGCUGUAGCGAGAAGUAGGGCACCUAAGUGUAAAAAGGACCUCAUUUGCACUAAAAAUCCAUUUGGUGUUGCAAUAAAAAUCAAUUUGCAAGAAAAUCGAAAAUUCUCAAGAUUCAUCAUGCCAAAUUUCACAUGCAUUACAACCAUAUACCAUAUUCAUGAACUUUCUAUAACACACAUAUCCAUAGAUGUAUAUAUAUAUAUAUAUAUAUAUAUAUAUAUAUAUNNNNNNNNNNNNNNNNCUACUACUAUAUAUAUAUAUAUAUAUAUAUAUAUAUAUAUAUAUAUAUCCAUCAUCAUGCACACCGUACCAUCAUCAUCAGCUCAUAUGCACUCCCAUUAGCAUAUGGCUAGGUCAGCAUCGGCUUAUGCGCACUCCCACUCGCACAUAACCGGGUCCGCAUCAGCUUAUGCACACUCCUACUUACACAUAGCUUGGUCAAUAUCAUUACACAACAUUAUUUGUAUAUAUAUAUCAACACAGUAUAGGAGCACAUGGAUCCGUCCUUUUACACAUUUCACAUUUUCACAACAUCCAAAUAUUUUAUCAAGGGCUUGUUCCCAAGGCACAUGUUUUUAAGAAAAGUUGAAUAAAAUCAAUCAAUGUUUUGUGCAAAUAGAUUCACAUUCCCAAAACAGUUUUGAAAUGCAAGUUCACUCACCGGUCUAGUUGAUUUUUUAAUCGAUUUUAACUUCGAUUAUUACUUCAAACGGACAUGUGAGGCCUCGUUGGAACCUAUCACACACACACAACAUCACUACCAACCCAAUUUGCAUAAAUACAUUUCUAAAAGCUAUUUCUUAAAUCAAGCUCUACUUGUUAUUCCUAACUAGCUUUCAAUCACCAUUAAGUGGCUAUUUAUUUCACUACUCUAGUCACCUUAAAAAUGAAUAAAAAUCUCAAUAAUAGACUAACUCACCACUCUAAUUAUCAACAAUUAUCAACAACUUGAAAAUUUAACCUAAUUCAUUACUCACCUUAGUGGUUUUUUGUAGUUGAAUUCCUUUUCAAAAGCUUCCAAGCUACUAUGGCAAGUCUCUCGUUCUCUUUCUAAAACUUUCAGCUAGUGAGAAAAAGUGUUGAACAAGGACUUUUGAGGGUUUUAAGGUGGGAGAGUGAAAGAGCUAAAAAGUUCUAUGAAAAAGUGCUCAAAAGCAUGAAAAUUGAAGCUAGAGAGAGAAAGUUAUAGAAGCUUUAAGGGAGGCUUCCAUGGAGGAUGAAGAAACGUGAAAGGGGAGGAAGAAGAAGAAGGAGAAGCUGCUGGAGCUCAGAUAUUUAUGCCUAAAGUUAAUCCAAAUUUCCACUGAAAUUACCAAAAUGCCCUUAACAUGGUGGCUUUGUUUUCCUCCCAUCCUUUGUGCAACCUUUUUGCUCUUUUGACACCAAAACAAAGUCCAUAAUAGUCUAAAAGUACUCGGGUUCAUGAAACUUAAAAAUUUAUACUCGAGAUGCGAAAUGACCAUUUUUGCCCUUACCAUGAAAAUUAUCAUUAUUUUUAUCUUAUUCAUUUAUUUUACCAUUAUAAACAUCAUUCAUUCAUUCCUUAGGCCUAUUUAGACCUCAAUAGCAUCAAAAACCCACUCGUAGGAGCUCACCAAGAGAAAUUACAAAAUUAUCCCUAGUCCUCAUUAUCGCGUCUACUUCUAGUUAUGUGUCUAUGGUGAUCGAGAUUUCACAAGUUCACUUCUGAAUUACCCUUUUAACUCAAUAAUUAACCUAAAUUGGCAUCCAUAAACUUUAUUAGCCACCGUAUCAAAAUACGGGGUACUACACUUGCACCACGAGCAGAAGAACUUUUUGCUUGCAAGGUUAAGCCUUCAGCACCUUGCUGUGCUAGUGCAACACUUAGAGUUUCAAAUGAGUUUGUAGCAGCAGGUUCUGAGGGCACUUUCUCCUUUCUCUUCAGUUCAUUCUCAAGUUCAGCAAUCUUCUCCUCAAUCUUCUGCAAUCUGGCUCCUUGAUCAGUGAGUUUACCAUCUAUCCUCAUCAAGAGAUUAAAAAUCAUUUCACUAAAGAAUUGAGAGGAUGAUGCCUCGGUUGGUGCUGGUAUAGCAGAGACUUUGGGUGUUCUAGUGAAUUUCUCUCCAUCUAGCUUGUACCUUAUUUUGAUCAAACUACCAUAGUAAAUGGCUUGAUCUCUGGUCUUCACCAUGUCCAUUUCAUACCUCUUGGCCCAAACUCCCUUUUUCUGUACAAGAGAUGUUAUGACAUUUCCAUAAGGUAGGUUGACUUUAUCAAGUUUGCAAGCUCCUCUCAUCUUUUCAAUCAUGAACCUGUCUAUAUUCAGAGCAACACCAUUAAAGGCAUGUUCCAUCAACCAAAGAUUCUGAAGGCUGACGUAACUUAAACUUCCACUUCUACCCUAGAUGUUAGUCGCAACAAAAUAGUGUAAAAUCCUAAUCUGGGGGCUGAUUAUCAGACCUGAAUUGCAAUUUGAAGAAUACUUUUCCUUCCUCCCGGUGAUGAUUUCCCAUAAUGAUGAAGGGUCAUAUUUCUCUGGGAAUUCAUACUCACCUUUUUCACACUCAAUUUUCAGUAAGCUACCUAAAUCAUCAGUAGUGACAACAAAUUCUUUCCUAUUCAAAUACACAUUCAGACCAUUUUCAACAUAGUCAUCAGAAUCCUUUAAUUCUUUUUCUCCUAAAGCAAUGCUAGAAUAGAACUUCUUUACCAGACUUGUACUGUAAGACCUAUUCUUAAAAGUGCUAUAUCCUUUCAGUUUCAAUUCAUCAAAAUAGUUAGAUAAACUAGUUUGUAGUUCUAAAUUUUCAUUAAAACUCUUCUAGUCAAUAUAUUUGCCACAAGUAAUAGGUGCAGUCUCAAUUUUUUUGAACCUUAGUUCAUGCGUCCUAUUUCUGAACUUAGAAGAAGAAGAGCCAAUACCUUUCUUGAGUGAGGAUUCCUUGUCCUCUUUCUUUUCUGUUUUCUGCUUUUUCUCUUUUCGUUUCUCAGAUAUCUCUUUCACUGAAGCAGAUGCAAUUUUUUGUUUCUUCUUUAGUAUUCCCGUUUUAGAACUUUCCUUCGCUGGUCUUUUUCCCUUAUUCUUUUCAAUAAUUUCUCUACUCUGGGAAGUUUUUGCCAUUCUGAUUUAAGAAUUUUACUGACUGGGGUUUUGUCUAAAUGGCAAGGGUUUGAAUCGAUUUUAGAGGAAAAUGUGAAGAGUUGGGUUUCAAUUUCAAAGGCUCGGGUUUCAGGUGACAGAAAAUGAGGAGUUAUCAGUAGUUAAUUCCAAAAAUUGUCUACCUCCUCCUUAAAUAUUGCCCUAUUCUAUUUGCUCAAAAUUUCAAAACUCCCUCUAAAUUUUGGUUAUUCACUUUAGGCAGUAUUUCUUCUUUCCUUAUUACCCAGUACACAGAUUCUUUAUAUUGUUUUAUUCCUUUCUUAUUUUAUUAACUGAGUCUUAUUAUUUAAUGCUACCAGAACACUCUUAGUUGACUAAGAUUCAUCUUAGUCGAUCAAAUGCAUUCUGUUUCAUGUGCAUGAGCCAAAGAUUUUCUAUCAAUUCUUGCCGACUAAUCAUACCUAUAUUUCUUCUAAUUUCACAGAAUCUAUCUUCAUUCAGCAGUUUAGUAAAAAUAUCAGCUAGUUGAUGCAAAGUAUUCACAAAUUCAAUUUUAACAUCAUUUUUCACUACAUGGCCUUUAACAAAAUGAUGUCUAAUCUCAAUAUGUUUUGUUCUAGAGUGCUGCUUAGGAUUCUUUGAAAUAUUAAUUGCACUUGUAUUGUCAUAAUCUAUUGGUAUAUUAUGCAUUGAUAACCCUGUUGGUCCUAAUAAUAUGUGCUAGAGGGGGGGGUGAAUAGCACAAAUCGGCUCUUGACAAGAAGAGGAACUAAUUUCCAGCACAAAGAAAAUAAAAAUAGAGUAGACAAUGCACAACAAUUUAGAAUGGUUCAGUCCAAGACCUACAUCUACUACCUUGAUUAUCCAACCAAGGAUUUUCUCAACAAAUCCACUAAGAAUACAAUAAAAAAAAGUAGAAGAAAGUACCUAUGAUCACAAGUUGAUUUAAAUGGUAAAAGGUUGAGUGCAUAAUUGUCACGACCCGGUACUUUUUUGAGCCCGUGACAACCGCCGCGAUGUCUCAAUAGACAUUCAUUACCCAGAAUGCCAAACGAAACCCCGCAAGGCUUUAAUAUCAGUUUUCUCACCUCCCCUGCAAGCAACAGUUGCUAAUAUCAUAUUUUAAAAGAUUAUAAGCUAUUUCCAAACCAAAACAAUAAAAAAAUAAUUUUCGUCUCACAGGGGUAUUUUGAUCAUUUUUCCUCAAAAAUUUCGAAACCAUCUAAAAAUGUAGUAUAUGAGUGAAAGAUACAUAUUUCAUAACCAAAAAUAAGUUUAGAUGUUUAAAACAUUCAUUUAACUGAAAUGAUAGCUAUUAGAAUAAAAUAAAAAUAUUAAAUAAAAUAUUUCAUUUUCUUAUGAAACAACAUUUAUAGAGAUAUCCGUAAAUAAUUUUUGUAGAGUAAAAGCAAAAAAAAAUUGUACAUACAGUAACACAGUGAGCCAGAAUGUGUAAUUUAAUUUACAAUGACAUGUGGGCCCCCUCGAAUGACCAAAAGUAACGAAGGCUGUGAACCUACGGUUUUUGAGGAUGCAAAUCCAACUGUAGCCCUCCACGAAAUCAGCUAUCUAUAGACUAUCCUGAGCCUGGAAUGAGUGGAAAGGAGGGUGGUGAGUUUAUAUAAACUCAUUGAGUAAACAAACAUCAUCUAAAAUAUCUAAAGUCGAGUAAAUGGAGACAACUUAAAAUAGUUCAUCGUACUAUGAUUCAUAACAUUUCAAACUCAUUUCAACUAAAUAAAAUAAUUUCAUUUCACUCAAAUAAUCAACAUGGCUUAUGAAUUUCUUAAAAACUUGGCUCGUGCCAAAACUCAUUCUCGGGGAUACCUUGAUCAGAGGCAUCCAAUUGAGUCCGCCAAGGCUGUUAAAGAAAAGACAUAUAUCCAUAAAUCAUAUUUGUACGUUUUAAAACAUAGCCGUUCCUUGGCGUUGGCUGAGUUCACCCUCACGUGGUGGUUCAGCGUGUAGUGAACUCUAAAACUUUACCUUAGGAGAUACCCUCUGUGCCUCUCGUACUAAGGUAAAAUAUAAUGGAGUUUACAGUGCCCCUCUAAUAGGCUAGUCCACAGAAACCCGCCCACUGCAGUAAGCUAAUUGAUAUCCCACCAAAUCAAUAAAAGUUUCGAUAGCAUGACAUGGCAAUUAUAUUACUACCCAGCCUGUCAAGGCAAAACAAACAGUUCAUACAAUUUCAACACAAUUUCCAAUUCAGCCAUUCAUGCCAAUAUCACCAUAAGCCAUUCAAUUCAAACCAUAAAUUUACAACACAAACAAACAGUUUCCAAUUACUCAAUUUCUAAAAUCAUCAAUCAAUUUCAAAAUGAUUUAUAAAACUCAUUUCAUUUAAUCACCUUUUACUUAUAAAACAUAAGGAAUUACCAUUUAAAUUCAUUUUUCUAUAAAAUUACAAAAACGAAUAAAAACUACUUUAGAUAAUUAAGACGAUAAUAAGGUUACUCACAAUAUCGAGAAUCGAGGUACUCCUAAUCUUGAUCUUUGGGUACAAUCUCCUUACCCUUAUCGGAAGUUUCACCACUUAGACAUAAUGCACAACAAGCAAUUUACUAUAUUUGUGCUAAACCGUUAUAAAACUAAUUUAGGCUCUAUAUGAAUGCAUGAAAUGGGAUGUGAAAUGUUCGGAUUAUUAUCUAAAUACGAUGUUCUACGUAGGUUCAAUUGUGUAUGGGGCUGAAAUGGUAUUAACCUAAUUCACACUAUACGCCAGUUAAUUGGCCAAAAUAUCCAAUUCAACUCCAAAUAAAUUCAUUUCACUUCCAAUACUCCAAAUCAUCAAAUAUAAGCUAGAUAACAUGAAUUAUAGCAAAAUCAUCCUCAACAUUUUCUCUUGGAAAAAUUCGGCCAUGGAGGGUUCAUGAAUAAUAUGUGGUUUUUCAUGCUUGAUUUUUACACUUUACAUCAUAAAACAACUAAAAAUACCUAAAUAGCAUGAAAUUCAUCAAAGUCCAUUUUCCAAUUUCUCUCUUGAAAAAUUCAGCCAAUGGGUGUGGGUGAAGGGCAUGAAAUUUCUUGCUUGUUUUCCAUGCUAAACAUCACCAAACAACUAAAAACACUAGAAUAACAUGAAAUCUAGCUAAAUCCAAGAUCAAAACCCCUCCCCCCCAUGUUUGGCCAGCAAAGGUAUCUUCAUGCAAACUUGAUUCUCAACCAUGGAAAAUGAAAAAGAAUGCAUAGGAAAGGUAGAUCACAAGCUAAAAUCAAGAAAUUUUACCUUUACUUGCUUAAUUCCUUGAAAUCCACCAAUUUUCCCUUGAAUUUUUGCUCACUAGGGUUUGUUCUUUACUUUUUUCUCUUUUCCUUGGUGAGG
rnacentral:lncRNA from 1 species